UUCUCAUGUCUGCUCUGUCUUCAGAUUUUGCUCCUGACUCUGAAUUUCUAUCCCUGCAGUUGUGACCUUCAGCACCUAUCCAGUGUCUUUUAAGAAUUUUCUCAUCCAGGGAACAGAUUCGUUUGCUUAAUAAUUGUAGAAAUGUGCAGAAUGGUGCCCAACUGUGAGCUGGAAACGGGGAUCGUGCCUGUAGUUUCAACCCAAGCAAAGGGUCUACAGGAGUGUUGGUCACCCAUUGAUUAA
rnacentral:lncRNA from 1 species